rnacentral:rRNA from 1 species
AAGGAACAUCCCUACUCUUUACAUCCAGAGAACUUAGCAGAGAUGCUUUGGUGCCUUCGGGAACUCUAAGACAGGUGCUGCAUGGCUGUCGUCAGCUCGUGUUGUGAAAUGUUGGGUUAAGUUCCGCAACGAGCGCAACCCCUAUCCUUUGUUGCCAGCGGUCCGGCCGGGAACUCAAAGGAGACUGCCAGUGAUAAACUGGAGGAAGGUGGGGAUGACGUCAAGUCAUCAUGGCCCUUACGAGUAGGGCUACACACGUGCUACAAUGGCGCAUACAAAGAGAAGCGACCUCGCGAGAGCAAGCGGACCUCAUAAAGUGCGUCGUAGUCCGGAUUGGAGUCUGCAACUCGACUCCAUGAAGUCGGAAUCGCUAGUAAUCGUAGAUCAGAAUU